rnacentral:rRNA from 1 species
GACGAACGCUGGCGGCGUGCUUAACACAUGCAAGUCGAGCGGUAAGGCCCUUCGGGGUACACGAGCGGCGAACGGGUGAGUAACACGUGAGCAACCUGCCCCUGACUCWGGGAUAAGCGGUGGAAACGCCGUCUAAUACCGGAUACGACCCGCCACCUCAUGGUGGAGGGUGGAAAGUUUUUCGGUCAGGGAUGGGCUCGCGGCCUAUCAGCUUGUUGGUGGGGUAACGGCCUACCAAGGCGAUUACGGGUAGCCGGCCUGAGAGGGCGACCGGCCACACUGGGACUGAGACACGGCCCAGACUCCUGCGGGAGGCAGCAGUGGGGAAUAUUGCGCAAUGGGCGAAAGCCUGACGCAGCGACGCCGCGUGGGGGAUGACGGCCUUCGGGUUGUAAACCUCUUUUACCACCAACGCAGGCUCGAAGUUCUCUUCGGGUUGACGGUAGGUGGGGAAUAAGGACCGGCUAACUACGUGCCAGCAGCCGCGGUAAUACGUAGGGUCCGAGCGUUGUCCGGAAUUAUUGGGCGUAAAGAGCUCGUAGGCGGCGUGUCGCGUCUGCUGUGAAAGACCGGGGCUUAACUCCGGUUCUGCAGUGGAUACGGGCAUGCUAGAGGUAGGUAGGGGAGACUGGAAUUCCUGGUGUAGCGGUGAAAUGCGCAGAUAUCAGGAGGAACACCGGUGGCGAAGGCGGGUCUCUGGGCCUUACCUGACGCUGAGGAGCGAAAGCAUGGGGAGCGAACAGGAUUAGAUACCCUGGUAGUCCAUGCCGUAAACGUUGGGCGCUAGGUGUGGGGACUUUCCACGGUUUCCGCGCCGUAGCUAACGCAUUAAGCGCCCCGCCUGGGGAGUACGGCCGCAAGGCUAAAACUCAAAGGAAUUGACGGGGGCCCGCACAAGCGGCGGAGCAUGUUGCUUAAUUCGACGCAACGCGAAGAACCUUACCAAGGUUUGACAUCACCCGUGGACUCGCAGAGAUGUGAGGUCAUUUAGUUGGCGGGUGACAGGUGGUGCAUGGCUGUCGUCAGCUCGUGUCGUGAGAUGUUGGGUUAAGUCCCGCAACGAGCGCAACCCUUGUUCCAUGUUGCCAGCACGUAAUGGUGGGGACUCAUGG